AUUGAACGCUGGCGGCAUGCUUUACACAUGCAAGUCGAACGGUAACAGGCCGCAAGGUGCUGACGAGUGGCGAACGGGUGAGUAAUGCAUCGGAACGUGCCCAGUCGUGGGGGAUAACGCAGCGAAAGCUGCGCUAAUACCGCAUACGAUCUAUGGAUGAAAGCGGGGGACCGAAAGGCCUCGCGCGAUUGGAGCGGCCGAUGUCAGAUUAGGUAGUUGGUGGGGUAAAGGCUCACCAAGCCAACGAUCUGUAGCUGGUCUGAGAGGACGACCAGCCACACUGGGACUGAGACACGGCCCAGACUCCUACGGGAGGCAGCAGUGGGGAAUUUUGGACAAUGGGCGCAAGCCUGAUCCAGCAAUGCCGCGUGCAGGAAUAAGGCCUUCGGGUUGUAAACUGCUUUUGUACGGAACGAAACGGUCCGGGUUAAUACCUUGGGCUAAUGACGGUACCGUAAGAAUAAGCACCGGCUAACUACGUGCCAGCAGCCGCGGUAACAC
rnacentral:rRNA from 1 species